rnacentral:rRNA from 1 species
AUUGAACGCUGGCGGCAGGCCUAACACAUGCAAGUCGGGCGAGCGGAGGACGGGUGAGUAAUGUCUGGGAAACUGCCUGAUGGAGGGGGAUAACUACUGGAAACGGUAGCUAAUACCGCAUACCAUCAGAUGUGCCCAGAUGGGAUUAGCUAGUAGGUGGGGUAAUGGCUCACCUAGGCGACGAUCCCUAGCUGGUCUGAGAGGAUGACCAGCCACCGUGGAACUGAGACACGGUCCAGACUACUACGGGAGGCAGCAGUGGGGAAUAUUGCGCAAUGGGGGCAAGCCUGACGCAGCCAUGCGGCGUGUGUGAAGAAGGCCUUCGGGUGGUAAAGUACUUUCGGCGAGGAGACGUUACUUGCAGAAGAAGCACCGGCUAACUCCGUGCCAGCAGCCGCGGUAAUUC